rnacentral:rRNA from 1 species
GUCGAGCGAAUGGAUUAAGAGCUUGCUCUUAUGAAGUUAGCGGCGGACGGGUGAGUAACACGUGGGUAACCUGCCCAUAAGACUGGGAUAACUCCGGGAAACCGGGGCUAAUACCGGAUAACAUUUUGAACCGCAUGGUUCGAAAUUGAAAGGCGGCUUCGGCUGUCACUUAUGGAUGGACCCGCGUCGCAUUAGCUAGUUGGUGAGGUAACGGCUCACCAAGGCAACGAUGCGUAGCCGACCUGAGAAGGGUGAUCGGCCACACUGGGACUGAGACACCGCCCAGACUCCUACGGGAGGCAGCAGUAGGGAAUCUACCGCAAUGGACGAAAGUCUCGACCGAAGCAACGCCGCGUGAGUGAUGAAGCCUUUCGGGUCGUAAAACUCUGUUGUUAGGGAAGAACAAGUGCUAGUUGAAUAAGCUGGCACCUUGACGGUACCUAACCAGAAAGCCACGGCUAACUACGUGCCAGCAGCCGCGGUAAUACGUAGGUGGCAAGCGUUAUCCGGAAUUAUUGGGCGUAAAGCGCGCGCAGGUGGUUUCUUAAGUCUGAUGUGAAAGCCCACCGCUCCAACCGUGGGAGGGGUCAUUGGAAACUGGGAGACUUGAGUGCAGAAAGAGGAAAGUGGAAUUUCCAUGUUGUAGCGGUGAAAUGCGUAGAGAUAUGGAGGAACACCAGUGGCGAAGGCGACUUUCUGGUCUGUAACUGACACUGAGGCGCGAAAGCGUGGGGAGCAAACAGGAUUAGAUACCCUGGGUAGUCCACGCCGUAAACGAUGAGUGCUAAGUGUUAGAGGGUUUCCGCCCUUUAGUGCUGAAGUUAACGCAUUAAGCACUCCGCCCUGCGGAGUACUGGCCGCAAGGCUGAAACUCAAUAGAAAUAGAACGGGCGGCCCGCACAAGCAGUGGCAGCAUGAUGGCUUUAAAUACGAAGCAACGCGCAAGAAUCAUUACCUAGGUCGGUGGACAGCCUACUGAAAACCCUACAGAUUAGGGCUUGCUCCUCUCGAGAGCAGCAGUGACAAGUCAGUGCAUAGAUGUCGUCACCUCAUGUCAAGAGAUGGAUGAGCUAAGUCCAGCAACGAACGCACACCCUUGACCUUAGUUGCCAUCAGUAACUUGGGCACUGUAACGUGACUGCCGGUGACAAACCGGACGAAGGUGGGGAUGACGUCAAAUCAUCGAUGACCCUUAUGACCUGGGCUACACACGUGCUACAAUGGACGGUACAAAGAGCUGCAAGACCGCGAGGUGGAGCUAAUCUCAUAAAACCGUUCUCAGUUCGGAUUGUAGGCUGCAACUCGCCUACAUGAAGCUGGAAUCGCUAGUAAUCGCGGAUCAGCAUGCCGCGGUGA